rnacentral:pre_miRNA from 1 species
UCUAGAACUCGAGAUAUGGGCUGAACACUGAACAGUGUCUGGGCUGCAGGACAGAUUCGGACUUCUUCGUUGUUGCUAUAAUUUGGACUUGAAAACGGCCUUAUUAAAUCUAGGACUCCCCAUGAAAGUUGUAGGCCUAUAUCUUAGCUUUCCAUC